GCCCGAAUAGCUCAGCCGGUUAGAGCACUUGACUGUUAAUCAGGGGGUCGUUGGUUCGAGGCCAACUUCGGGCGCCA
rnacentral:tRNA from 1 species